rnacentral:rRNA from 1 species
UCAAAACCCCUCCCCACCAGUGAAUUAUAUUAUAAAUUAUAAUAAAAUUAAUGUUAAAACUAGUAAUAAGAAAAUAAAAUUUUCUCAUGUGCACCAAUGUAAGUCAGACUGGACUAACCACUGACAAUUAUAAAUAAAUACAAAUUUAUAAACUAGAUGAGGUAUUAAAUUUUUUAACGUUAAACCAACACUGGAAUGCACUAAGAAAGACUAAAAAAUAAAGAAGGAACUCAGCAAAUAAGAUUCCCGCCUGUUUACCAAAAACAUCACCUCUAGUAUACACAUUAGAGGCCCUGCCUGCCCAGUGAAAAUUUUUAACGGCCGCGGUAUUCUGACCGUGCAAAGGUAGCAUAAUCACUUGUCUUUUAAAUAAAGACUAGAAUGAAUGGCAAGACGAGGUAUCCACUGUCUCCUUUAUUUAGUCAAAGAAACUGAUCUCCCUGUGAAAAAGCAGAGAUAAAUUUACAAGACGAGAAGACCCUAUGAAGCUUAAAUACACAACUAGUUAAGAACUUAUUUAAUAUAAGCUUUUAAUACUACUAAUUAUUAAAUUUGGUUGGGGUGACCACGGAGAAAGAAAAACCUCCGAGAAAUAAAAUUAAGAUAACCUUUCAAAAUUAAAUAAAAACACUUGACCCAAUUGUAUUGAUCAACGAAACAAGUUACUCUAGGGAUAACAGCGCAAUAUUCUCCAAGAGCCCCUAUCGACGAGAAAGUUUACGACCUCGAUGUUGGAUCAGGAUACCCAGACAAU